rnacentral:lncRNA from 1 species
GCAGACAGGCCGACAGACAGACAGACCUUUGCAUGCUGGGCCCUCCGCGCUCCAGCUCUACCCCUGCUGAUGCUGGAGGACGCUGCCUGGGGAGGCAGCAGGUGACCUCUGGGCCCCUCCCUGUCCCUGGCUGCAGUGCCUCUGAGUAUCCGCCCGCAGGAGGCUGCCGGCCCUCAGCUCCUUCAAGUUCAUCCACAGCAGAAGCAGUGACCAAGGCAGGCCCUGGAAGCCCGGCCACUGGGCUCAAGACCUCUCCACAUUCCCAGUCUGCAGGUGACAAGGACAUCCUGGGCUUCUGCUCCUCCGACCAUGGCUCCCCUUCUAGACAGAGCAGGCAAGGAUGCUGCGUUUCCCAGGACAAAGUGAUGUCAUCUAAGUCUGCCUUGAAAGCAUCACAAACACUCACCUCUCUUCCUAAUACUCUGGAGGUUCUGCAGGGAAAAGCCCAGAAGGGAGUCAUCCUCCACCCUUGAGAACCCAAUAAAGUCAGCUCAAGCAACCAGCAG